rnacentral:rRNA from 1 species
CGUAGUUGAAUUUCUGGUCUCGGGCUUCGGUCUGCCUCAAACGAGGUACGUACCUGUUGGUCUGGAAUCCAUCCUCGGGGAGAACGUUUUGGUCAUUAAGUUGACUGGAUCGGGAUCCUCGUCAUUUACUGUGAGCAAAAUAGAGUGUUCAAAGCAGGCUUAUGCCGUUGAAUACAUUAGCAUGGAAUAAUAAGAUAAGACCUUGGUCUAUUUUGUUGGUUUGUACUCCAAGGUAAUGA